GAUGAACAGCCUUCCAGAAUCACCGCAGAAACCAGCACAUAUCCUAUUCACCAUGAGAACAAUCGGCGUUGCCUUGUUGGUGUUGGUGGCCCUUUUUGUACUGAUGGAGGUCACUGCAGCAAUGCCAGAGCCUGAUCCUCAACGACGCUUCUUCGGACACAGUCCCUAUCGCUUCGGUGGCUACGGCUAUCGACCCUUCGGAUACGGCUUUGGAAACGUCUUUAGACCAUUCGGAUACGGCUUUGGCUACGGCUAUAGACCCUUCGGAUACGGCUAUGGCUGCGGCGGAUAUGGCGAUGGCUUUGGAGGUUUUGGUGGAGGCUUCUUUGGCUGAUGAAUAUUUCCCACGAAGAUACGAGAAGCUACAGUACGACUGGCCCUUCUUUGAACCAUCUAUUUCUUUUUAAAAAUAUAAAAUCUAUUCUUAUGUUUAAAAUAAAAUUUUCUUCUCA